rnacentral:rRNA from 1 species
UACGUAGGGUGCGAGCGUUAAUCGGAAUCACUGGGCGUAAAGCGCACGUAGGCGGAUUGCUAAGUCAGGGGUGAAAUCCUGGAGCUCAACUCCAGAACUGCCUUUGAUACUGGCAACCUUGGGUCCGGGAGAGGUGAGUGGAACUGCGAGUGUAGAGGUGAAAUUCGUAGAUAUUCGCAAGAACACCAGUGGCGAAGGCGGCUCACUGGCCCGGUACUGACGCUGAGGCACGAAAGUGUGGGGAUCAAACAGG